rnacentral:rRNA from 1 species
GGUGAAAAGCACCCCGGAAGGGGAGUGAAAUAGAACCUGAAACCGUGUGCUUACAAGUAGUCAGAGCCCGUUAAUGGGUGAUGGCGUGCCUUUUGUAGAAUGAACCGGCGAGUUACGAUUUGAUGCAAGGUUAAGCAGUAAAUGUGGAGCCGUAGCGAAAGCGAGUCUGAAUAGGGCGUUUAGUAUUUGGUCGUAGACCCGAAACCAGGUGAUCUACCCUUGGUCAGGUUGAAGUUCAGGUAACACUGAAUGGAGGACCGAACCGACUUACGUUGAAAAGUGAGCGGAUGAACUGAGGGUAGCGGAGAAAUUCCAAUCGAACCUGGAGAUAGCUGGUUCUCUCCGAAAUAGCUUUAGGGCUAGCCUCAAGUGAUGAUUAUUGGAGGUAGAGCACUGUUUGGACGAGGGGCCCCUCUCGGGUUACCGAAUUCAGACAAACUCCGAAUGCCAAUUAAUUUAACUUGGGAGUCAGAACAUGGGUGAUAAGGUCCGUGUUCGAAAGGGAAACAGCCCAGACCACCAGCUAAGGUCCCAAAAUAUAUGUUAAGUGGAAAAGGAUGUGGCGUUGCCCAGACAACUAGGAUGUUGGCUUAGAAGCAGCCAUCAUUUAAAGAGUGCGUAAUAGCUCACUAGUCGAGUGACACUGCGCCGAAAAUGUACCGGGGCUAAACAUAUUACCGAAGCUGUGGAUUGUCCUUUGGACAAUGGUAGGAGAGCGUUCUAAGGGCGUUGAAGCAUGAUCGUAAGGACAUGU